AAAAAAAAAAAAAGAAAAGAAAAGAAAAAUCACUGGUGUUUUUAUUGGUAUUUCUAGUAUUGGAAAACAACUGGUAUACUUAACAAUAUUUGUUACAUGGCAGAGUAAGAAAGGGAAGAGGAGAAGGGGUUAUCUUACAUGCUCAUGAAUGAAUUAUACUCAGUUCCUUCCUUCAUUGUCUCUUUCCACUUCAGAUCCAGAAAGAAUUAGGAGUGGAGGUAGAAGGGAGAGAUGUCAGGAUAGGGUUACCAUUGAUAUAUGUAGCAUCACAAACUAAUAAAUAACUCAUAAAUCCUCUGCUUCUUCCUCUCCUUCCUUUCUCCUUAUAUUUCCUCAGUAGGAUCAGUGACGAUUUUGAAACAGCCUGGUCUCACAUCACAUUCAGGAGAUUCUGCCUCUGAAUUCUUAACAGCCUGAGAGAUGCAGUUGGGGCUGACCUGCUUGAUCAUAUGCAAAUUAAAAGCAGAUGCUAGUAAUGAGAACAUUCCAGCCAAAAUCCAAAGCUACCCCAGAGGAGUGGAGCAUGAAGACACUUGCUCUAUUGGAACAGUCAUCUAUAUAUUACAGUAGGGGAAAGCCUUGAUCCCAUUCCCAGAAAUCUUCACGACCAUUGAAGAUGAGGUGGUUUCUUCUUGGGUACAGCCCAACCACAUGGGUGGCAGAGGCCAAAGAUGGGCUGAGGGGGCUAAAAGCUACCAUAUCUGCUUCUGACUGCCAAGUGUCUAGAGAGAUCCUUUCAAUGCACUUGUAACAGAUCUCCCCUCCUCCCAGAGAGUGGGGAUGGGAGAGGCCUAAGCCAUACCCAUGCAUUCCAGCUGGUCAAUCAACAGGGAGGCGUUUAGGGGCUCUCGAGCUACCUAAUCACCAGUACUGGUCCACCGUUUGCAGCAAGGUCCUGAAAUCCUCCUCAGAGGUCUACAAAUCCUAACGUACUUGUACUCAAAGGCCAGCUGGGAAACAAAGAACAUGAGCUCAACUUUGUAAAAGGAUCUCUAUCUCCUCACAUUGGAAAAACACAUGAAUGUACCCUACCACUACAGAAGUCAUUUGUACAUGCUCCUUACCUUUCUCUAUCCAGAAUAUUACUAAAGAAAAUGACAAAGGAGACAGGAAUAGGUGAAAUAGUGAGCUUUCUGGUCUCCCCACCAUUUAGCCUAAAAAAUGAAAAUGGACAUGGAAACAUUUAAUUUCAUCCUUAUAACAGAUCUGAUACUCAAUUUUUAAAAAACCUAGUAGUUUAACUACAUAUAAAUUUAGAAAUUUAAUAUUUAUAAUGCAAAUAGGACAUGUUUACAUGGUAAAGGGAAUGAGGUAGGUGAAAGGGAGAUUUGAAGAUAUUGAAGCAAAAAAGUAGACAUCUUUUUUCUCCUAUCAUAUUUUUAUAUGUAAAUAGAGGGAGAUUCUUUCUUAAAACAUGACCACAAUAUUAUUUCACACCUAAGAAGGAACAUUAAUUCUGUAAUAUCAUCAAAUAUAUCCAGGAUAACUUUUUUUUCUUACACUUUGAAUAAGAAUUCAAAGUCCAUAUAUUUUGAUUGUGCAGUAUUUCUUAUAAAUCUCUUUCCAUCUAUAGGUGCCGGAUCCAGGGCAAAAAUGAAGACAUAUGGGACCUUAGGUGACAAGGAAGAAGCUCCCAGGCAGCAUGUGGGAUGGACCCAAGGAGAACGUCAGAGAGAAAGGUUCAGUCUGGUGUCUCCUGAAGCAGGUGGCAGCAUGCUGACGAAGGAGCGUGGAACUGGUGCCUCCAGGACUCAUGACAAGACCUUACGGAGAAAGAAGUCACCCAAGGGCAAAUGACUGGAGUGUGGAAGAGUAUGGAAGAGCUGGACCAAAUCCACAUGGUCCGGUCAGUUCUCCAAACAUCAAGACCCUGUGCGGUGAGGGUGAGCCAUCUCAGCAGAAAGGUAUACCUCCCUGCCCAUGUCACCUCCAACACUUCCAGACCUUCUCUUCCCUCCUUCCCCAAUCCCACCCAAAGCUCCAGUUCCAGCAAAUGUGGGAGUGCAACGAAUGCAAUUAGCUGGGGUGAUGGCAGCAGCCCUGAACUUGGACUCAGAAGACCUGGCUUUAAAUUUCGCCUCCGCACUUACUGGUUGUAUGACCCAAGGCGAUUUACCUCCCCCUCCACUUUCCCCAUCUGUGAAAUGGGGUAAAUAAGAGUCCCACCUGAUUCAAAAGGUUAUGAGGAUGAAAUAUGGUUGAGAGAUGAGAAUCCUUUUAAACUUCUCUGCAAUACUAAUGAUGAUAAUGAUUAAAGUAACUUAGUUGCAAAAUAAUGUGAAUGACAUUACCUGGCCUUUAACCCUUCAGGAAGUGUUUAUUCUUUAAAGGGAAAAGUUUGUCAAACCAAAUGAAUCCUCUUGGUGAACUACACGGAUAACAUAUUUUGGAGAGAGAUGGUAGGCCAGUUCCUGUGACCCUCUCUAACUGAGGCUGGGGCUAGGGAGGGAGGCCCUUUCAUUCUGACCUCAUUUUUGUUUCAAAGGGAAAUGUGGUCUCUCUGAGGGAGGAGGACAGACAGGCAGUAUAACUUCUCACGUCUUUGUGCAUCAUUUUUAUUAGUUCCUGGCCCACAUUUUUAAAAAAGAAUAUUUACUCUUAAAUGACACACUUUAAAAGCAUGCUUUUCUAAAUGGCAGCAAUUGGACCCCAUGGUGUGGCCAGUGCAUUCAGUCUGAAAACCCUAUGGUGACACAUCACUGUGGUCCUGUGGAGAUGGGUCCUGUGGCGAUGUAUGUCUUCCUUCUCCUCUAGUUAGCGCCCUGUGAGCUGGGAGAUUCAAAUCUGAUAGCAGCUUGAAAGCUUCAAACCUAGAGUCCUCCAAGCUGGGAAGCUGAAUUGCUGCUCUAGGGCUGCGUUUAGAUUGAUUUUCUGAAUGCUGUCACUGCAGAGGAGCUAGUCAACUUUUCUCAAAAUAUUUUUCUCAUCUUUUUCACUUUCCUCUCUCCAGUUUGACAUACGGAGUUAUAAAUGUACUUUCUGGUUUUGUUUUAUGCCUUGAUUUUUAUUUCUGAUGAUUCUAUCAAGCUGACUGCCUUCAAUGUUUUCUCUAUUUAGGAAAAUGCACUACUUCCUGUAUUCCUCACCUCCCUCCACCAGAGAUUCACUCUCCUGGCCCACGCCUUGUGCCUGGCACACAGGAGCAUUGGAGAUGCCCCAUACCUAAAGUCCAUACCUUAAUGUCUUGAAAUAAAUAAAUGAAUUUAAGGAAGAAACUCUGAAAUAAACUGGGGCUGAAUUAUACAGUAGCUGGCAUCACAAAAUUCUAAUCAAAGCUAGGGAAUUUAAUAACGAUCCCUGCCUAAAGACCUAAAAGCAUGUUCUUUUGUUACUUUGUUAACCAUCAUGAGUUUUCACUGUCCCUUCUGCUACUGCCUUCAAUGUAACACUACAAAUAGAUUAAUUACUAAGAGUAAAAGGUUUUGUCUCUUUUCUUUCUUUUUUUGUUUCUUUUUUAAAAAACUAAUUGUGAAAUAGCUAAUUUAAAAGGAUCUUUUUUUAAACAACAGUCUUAAAAAAAAAAAAAAGCUAAAUGUCAUAGUGCCCUAAAUUCUUUUGUGUCGGUGAUUAUAUUGUAUGUCAAGAAACCAUCCCGAGGUGAUAAUUAGAUUUUAUCUGCAAAUGGAGGUGGGAGGAUGAGAGUAGGUAGUAGCGUCAAAAUUUCACCAAAACAAUAAGACAAUUCACACGACGAGGUAGGAAAAACAUUACUCAAACAGGCGGUUGGGGCUACUGUGUGAUUAAGGGAAUUUUGACACUAUAAUCAUCUAGGGUGGGUGUAUAUUUUAUUUGCCUCUCUAUGACCAGACAUUUAGGAAGGCAAACUGGAGCAAGAAAAAAUAGAAUGAUAACCAAAAUGUAAAAUAUCUCUGUGUUGAUCAUCAUGGAAGUGAAUAAAACAGGCCACAAAGACCCCUUUUUUCCCACAGAACUUUUCAACAGAUGGUUAUACUAGUUGUUUCAGAAUUAAUACCAAGGAUUGAGGGUUGGAGGCAUGUUAUUUAGAAGCGGUGCUGGUGUGAAAGUGACAAGGUUUUUGGCUCCAAGUAACACCUCCCAAUUUGUACAGCAACCACAAAUGUGCUUCAGGCAAGGUGGCGUCCUACAUUUUAACUUACCCCCAAGAAAAUAUCCUGAAUUUCACAGGUGUUCUCAGUAAUAUGACCUGACUGAAAAUAGCUUCUAUUCUGUAUUUUUCCCCAGGUUAAAAUUAAGCUCGGCAGGCUCGAUGUAAAUGUGCAGACAAAGCAAAGCAGGAAGCCUCCCACACUAAAAAGGGAAGAUAAGAAUCACAGAAGCCGGGAUGGUUUUUAUUGAAGGGCAUUUCAAAGCAAAUACAGACAUCUACAGCAUAUUUGUAAAUCCUCCGUAUGUGUAUGGAAACACACACCUUCACACAUCAAAACUGGAUUUGUUCCUGAGUAAUAAAACGUCCUAAGAACAAAACGAAAGCAAACUGAAUAGCAGAAAAAUACUUCCAUCGUAUACCACACAGGAUUAUUUAUUAACCUCAACACACCAAGAGUUAAGAAAAUAAUGCAACAGGAACAAAGGGCAAUGGAUACGUACCGGGAAGACCACAGAGAAAGAAAAUGCAAAAAUGGCUAAUAAUAUAAAAUAUUUCCUAGGUUCUAUAGUAACCAGGGAAAGACAAAAUUACACUUUUGACCUCUUAGACUGGCAGUGACAAAGGUUAUUUGAGUGACCAAACUUUAGUCAGGCUCCUGGAUCUUCUAGGCCCAUCUGGGCACUUCCUCAUAAAAUACAGUUUUAGCAAACGCCCUGCUAAAUUGGUUUACCAAGAACUCCUACCCUCAGUGGAGUUCCUUAUCUCUUCACCUUUCCUCAGGUGAGGCCUGAUCAUCCUGGCCUAUCUUCAGCAAGAGGGCCCUGACCGUGACGUUUCCUCUUAGUAAAUUUCCAUCCACUGACACUCACUCACAGUUUAUAGCCAGGAGCAAGCUCCUUGGGUUUAAAUUAUUUUCCCUGUUAUAUUCAGAGUUGAGCCCAAUCCCUCUCUCCGACUACAAAAUCUGAUAGCAGUAGUCCCUAUACCUAUUGCAAUGGUCCCAAAUAAAACCUGCCUUACUGUG